rnacentral:lncRNA from 1 species
CCCUCUACAGUCUAUUCCCACCACAGAAGCUAAAGUGAUCUUUCCUACAUUUAGAUUAUACCAUUCCCCAGAUUAAGUCCUCUAAUGGUUUCCCAACUCACUCGUAUAAAUACAAAUCGUUACUAUUGUCUUCAAAUCCCUAUAUGGUCUGGAUUCUUGCCAUUUUUCCAACUUCAUUUCUUCUCUUUCUUUUGAUUAUUCUAUUCCAGCCACUCUGGUCUUUUUGCUUUGCCAGAACACUAAACUCAGCUUGCACCAGCCUCGAGACCUUUGCACUUGCUAUUUUCUCUGCCUGGAAAGCUUUUCUCCCAGACAUUUAAGUAGCACCUCCUUUCAUUCAGAUCCUAUUCAAAUAACCUAUUCUCAAUCCUGCAAUAGGUGUUGCUGACCACAUAUCUAAAGUGAUGACUUUCUCCCCUCCUAUUGGUCUAUUUUUACUCUAUUUUUCCUUGUUAAAUAUUUAUCACUGAGUGAAACCAAAGUAUCCAUCUGUUUAUUUAUUUCUUUAUCUCUCUUUCCUGUAAUAGGUUCUGUUUGAUCAAGGACUUUCUUAUCGCUGUGUCCUCAGCCCUCCAGCAGUCCCCUCCACCUCAGAGGAAUCCAAUAAAAGUGUUGAAUUAAUGAGAAUUCAUCAUUAUACCUUUUCCUUGUUAAACACAGUCAUUUAUAGUGGGGUUUCACUGCAAUAAUUUGAUUCACUCAACAAUAAAAGUGAUAGUAACAGGAGAUAGGGCUCUGACAGCCAUCUUGGGAAAAAAGGCACAUUUGGAUGUCUAGUUCUGGGCGAAUGAAGGAAGUCUUCUGACUCAAGGGUCUGUGUCACUGGUUGGGAAAAGAACAUUAAACUCUAACACUAAACUCUAGCAUAAGGCCUCAGGCUGACCUAUUUGGCCUUUCAAAGUAAUGGGUUAGGGCCGGGUGCAGUGGUUCAUGCCUAUAAUCCCAGCACUUUGGGAGGCCAAGGUGGGUGGAUCACCUGAGGUCAGGAGUUCAAGACCAACCUGGUCAACAUAGUGAAAUCCAGUCUAUUAAAAAUACGAAAAUUAUCCAGAUAUGGUGGUACAUGCCUGUAAUCCCAGCUUCUCUGGAGGCUGAGACAGGAGAAUCACUUGAACCCAGGAGGCGGAGGUUGCAGUGAGCCAAGAUGGUGCCACUGCACUCUGGCCUAGGUGAUAGAGCGAGACCCUGCAUAUGCUGCUUCUCAAAGGGCACUGGCAUCUCAAAAGAGCAUGCUGUAGAGCAGGCUGAAGCCAAAGAGUUCAAUUCUCAAGGUGAAUUCACAGGUCAAUGUCACCAGAUGGAGCAAAACUUUUUAGGAGAAGGAAGAAAGUGUCCUUUCAGGCUUUUCCAGAGCGAGGAGAGAGUGUCCUUUCCACCUAUUAGAGGCAGCCUGCUGACACCCCUUCCAGGCUCACCUGAGGUGCACCAGCAUUUGCUAAUACCUGCUUUCCCCAGACCUUUAUCCUAUUCACCCACAGUUCUUUCCAAUUAGAUGACUAACAGGCUUGCUCCUUUACUUAAAAGGGAAGCUUCAUUGUAAAACUCACUAAGGUGAAGGCAAUUUCCUGGGGUUGUUAGCAUGCUCUCCUCAGGACCAACUCCCUGCAAGCCUGAAGAAAUGAGAGCUUGGAUUAUUUCAGCAGCUUCGAUUAUUCCUGAGGGAACUGGCUACCCCCAUCGUCCCCCGCUCUUCACUACCUUACAGGGUACUCUCUUUCCUGGAGGGAGAUUGGUAAUUCCCUUUGGAAACACUGAGCAGUCUUCUAGAGGGCCUGUCUAGGGAAGUGAUGAAAUAUCACAUGCAGUGUGCACUAGAAGCCUUGUAAAGUCAAUGAACUCAAUUUUGUUCACUUUAAAGUGAAAUGAACUUGCCUUAACACACUGAAGCAGACAAAUCCAUCCUUCAUAGCAGAGAAGGGAACAUGAGUGGAACUGUAACCAGGAGACAGGAAUGGCAGAUUUGUGGCCAGGAAUUUCUCCCUAGUUUGUGCUCAGGAAAGCAGAAGUUUGGGAUCAUGGAAGGGGCAGCAGGCUAAGUGCCAGGUGAAACUCAUCCCUCAGGACCUUCCCUAAGGCUAGCAUCAGAUCCAUUCCUAUCUUCCUUUUCCAGUCCUAUCUCCACACUCUCUCCUUCAACCCUCAAGCAUUCCAGCACACUCUCUGAAUUCCAAAUCAAUGUCAGAAUCUUACCACUUCUGGCCCUUUAUCCUUCCUCUCAAUUCCCACUUCUCCCAGAUGUCUGAUCUCACAGGCUCUUGCUUUAAGAGCCUGUUUCUCUCCUCCAAGCUAGAAGGGAUCAUCUUCUCAUCCUCCAGACUCAGAAGAGCAAUUUAUCUUUACUACUCUUGGUGCUCUCAUUACUGUCUAUCUUGUAGGUGAAGGAACAGCCCCAAGGUCAUAUAGCAAUUCAAGGCCAGGUCUCUUGACUUUCUCUCCUGUGAUCUUUGUACUGCUUCAUACUUCUCCUCAAAUUUGGGAAGGCAAAAUCUGAAGUCAGAAUAGGAGCAAAAGGAGGCAGCUUUGUUUCUUACAUUUGUUGCCAGAGAGGCUGCAAAAAGGCGGUUACCUAAGCCACAGAGGCCUUGAUUUAGCAGUGAAGACCACAGGGAGUCACUCAGAAUGGUUUAUUUGUGCACAUAGGUGGAGCUCCUUUGUCUACCUCUGACAGCAAGGUAUCCCUGACUCCCAUUCCCCUGGGAGCAUCUAUGAGGAUGCACAUAUCUCAUUGAAAAUCUAAGGAGAUAAAGUUUUAUAUGCUAGAAUUGCUCCUAGGGACAGAGACAGAGAGUAAGAGGUAGAAAGAGAGAUUAACACCCCAUCCACAAGACAGGCCAUCCUGGACUGCCUGUGAUGUGGGAAAUUGGUCAAGAUGAGAGUUUAUGAAUUUCGAUCAGAAAAUUUAAAUGUAGGAAUAGAAUUUAAAAAGGUAUUGAUUUUUUGGCAUGGAGGGAUUGGAAAUAAUAUUUUGCUAAGAGGCUUGAGGCUAAGGGUUUGAUGCCCAAAGAUCAUGUUUGGCCAGCAAGAGAAGUUUCCUAAAUUGUCUCAAGGGGCACAGCUGUCUGCCUUGCAGCCAGCUAUUUUCUUGUUAUUCCUCUCUAAAGGAGUCCUGAUUAUUUUCAGAUGUCAACCUUUCCCUCAUUUGAACCAGGAAAGGCUCACCCAUCCACUACCUCCAGAACGGCAUCCUAACUAGUCUAAGCCAGGAGUCAGCAAACUAAAGCCCAUGGACAAAACAUGGCCAGCCACUGCUGCCUGUAAGCUAAGAGUGGUUUUUACAUUUUCAAAUGACUAGUAAAAUAAACCAAAAGAAGGAUAGUGUGUGUUGACACAUAAAAAUUAUACAAAAUUCUAAUUUCUGUGGCCAUGUUUUUUAACAGCUUUAUUCAGAUAUAAUUCACAUACUGUACAAUUCACCCAUUUAAAGUAUACAAUUAAAUGGCUUUCAAUAUAUUCACAGGGCUAUACAAUUAUCACCACAAUCAAUUUUAGAACAUUUUCACUACCCCCAAAAGAAACCUCAUGCCCUUAAGCCAUCACCCCUCAAUCCCCCUAGUACCUCAAGCUCUAGAUAGUCAAUAAUCUAUUUUCAGUCUUUGUAGAUUUAUCUGUUCUGGACACUUUAUAUACAUAAAUAAAGUUUUAUUGGAACACAUCCACGCUCAUUUACAUUUUGUCUAUAGCUGCUUCUGCACUAGAACGACAGAGUUGAAUUGUUGUGACAGAAACCAUAUGUCUCACAAAGCCUAAAUUAUUUACUAUCUCCUUCUUUACAGGGAAAGUUUGCAGAUCCCUGGUCUAAGCCAAUUAGAGUCUGGCAUUCCUUUAGAAUCUGUUUUUGGGCCAGGGAUGAGUAUUUGAGCUUUGUUGACCCCAUCAGACAUGAAGAAAAAAAUUUCCUCUUCACAUGAAAUAGGUUUCUUUUUCCUGAGCUUUGCAGGGUGUGACUCAGCUGCUAUUGGAAGACAUCUAGGCACUGUGAGUGGACAGCCUGAUGACAGCAGUGAAGAUGACAGAGCCAAUAAAGAGAAAGCAGUUCAGUGCUGGAUUACUGAAUCAGCCAAUCCUGAAAUCCAUGUACCUCUGGAUUUCCUGUCACAUGAAAUAUCCUCAUUAUUUAAGACAACAUGAUGUAGAGUUUCUGUUACCUAUAGCCAAAAGCAGUCUACCAGAUACAGCUUCUUGCUAAAGAGGUGGCUGAGUAAUGUGCUGGUUUGGACCAAAGCUGAAUUUUCCUGGACAAUGAAAGAGAGUCUAAGCGUAGAAGCCAUGAGAUCUCUUCUUGCUCUACUCUUUCCCUAUGCAAUGUUCUGCCUCUGUAAGCAACUGGCAAUGUUCAGAAGGGAUUAUUUUCAAGGAAUACCAACGUAUUGGCCUGCCUAUUCAUCUAUAUGUCCCUGGUUUAUCAAGAAGGCUGCUCAAGUUUGAGAUAUGGCUCUUAACCCCAUUUAUAAAUAAAUAAAUGAAUAAAAUGAAUAAAAGUUGAAUUGCUCUGUUUAAAGUAGGAAUGUUAUGUUUUUGAGGGUGGUGGGCAGAAUCUGAUCUAUAGCUUACUGAGUCUCUAAUGUACUCGUCUCAACAUGUCUUUUAUAGGAGGGAAAAAUGUAGCCAGCACUUGUAGCUAGCUAGCCAAAUCACCACACUCAACAAUAUAAGGGUCUCUUGCUAAGGAAGAAGAGGGAAUGGGUAUGCCUAGAUAGAGGGAAACCUUUACCAUCCUUGGUAAGCACCCCUUGAUGUCAGCUCCAGUGCUUGGGAAAGCCACUGCCUGUUUAAGAA